rnacentral:rRNA from 1 species
AGGACGAACGCUGGCGGCGUGCCUAACACAUGCAAGUCGAACGGAACUGCGGAGCGGAAUCUUCGGGAGGAAGCACCGUACGUUAGUGGCGGACGGGUGAGUAACGCGUGAGGAACCUGCCUUUCAGAGGGGGACAGCAGUUGGAAACGACUGCUAAUACCGCAUAACGCAGCGGGAUCGCAUGAUCUUACUGCCAAAGAUUUUUAUCGCUGAAAAGAUGGCCUCGCGUCUGAUUAGAUAGUUGGCGGGGUAACGGCCCACCAAGUCGACGAUCAGUAGCCGGACUGAGAGGUUGAACGGCCACAUUGGGACUGAGACACGGCCCAGACUCCUACGGGAGGCAGCAGUGGGGAAUAUUGCGCAAUGGGGGCAACCCUGACGCAGCAACGCCGCGUGAAGGAAGGAGGUCUUCGGAUUGUAAACUUUUGUCUUCAGGGAAGAUCAUGACGGUACCUGAGGAGGAAGCUCCGGCUAACUACGUGCCAGCCGCCGC